CCUACGGGUGGCAGCAGUGAGGAAUAUUUGACAAUGGGCGCGAGCCUGAAGCAGCCAAGUAGCGUGCAGGAUGACUGCCCUACGGGUUGUAAAUUUCUUUUAUAACGGAAUAAAUUGAGGCACGUGUGCCUUUUUGUAUGUACUUCAUGAUUCAGGAUCGGCUAACUGCGUGCCAGCAGCCGCGGUAAUACGGAGGAUCCGAGCGUUAUCCGGAUUUAUUGGGUAUAGAGGGGGCGUAGAUGGAUUGUUAAGUCAGAUGUGAAAGUUGGGGUCUCAACAGUAAGACUACAAGUGAUACUGGCAGGCUUGAGAACAGUAGGGGUAGCCGGAAUUCGUGGUGUAGCAGUGAAAUGCGUAGAUAUCAGGAAGAACUCCGAGAGCGAAGGCAGGUUACUAAGAUGGCACUGACAUUGAGGCUCGAAAGUGUAGGGAGCAAACAGGAUUAGAUACCCCAGUAGUC
rnacentral:rRNA from 1 species